AUGAUCAAGACAUGCUUGAUGCGAAUGAGCAAAAAAGAGGGAGCUCAUGGCCCUUCCGGUAGCAGCGCUACACCACCUGUUGUUGGACAGGAGGGGCUCCCGGUAGCAGCGAUUGGGGGGAGUCUCUUGCUACUACUCCAAAGAGGGAUCCAAGAGAACCAGGAUGAAUGUUGGGAGUGCAAAUUCCCCCCUAUUGUAUUUUUAUGUGAAACACGACAAAAGGCAAGUAGGAUAAAAAGAUACAAAGGGAGGCUUGGUUUACAAGGUUCUGAUGGUGUUGAUUGUAAUGGUAACAGUGGUGGGCUCACUUUGUUUUGGCAUGAGAGUUUAGUAGUUGAUGUGGUGUUCUCUAAUGACCGUUGCAUUCACACACAUAUUGGAUCGGGCCGGAUGAAGCGCCUUGGAGCCUAA
rnacentral:rRNA from 1 species